rnacentral:rRNA from 1 species
UGGGGAAUAUUGCACAAUGGGCGCAAGCCUGAUGCAGCCAUGCCGCGUGUAUGAAGAAGGCCUUCGGGUUGUAAAGUACUUUCAGUCGGGAGGAAGGUGGUAAGGUUAAUAACCUUAUCAAUUGACGUUACCGACAGAAGAAGCACCGGCUAACUCCGUGCCAGCAGCCGCGGUAAUACGGAGGGUGCAAGCGUUAAUCGGAAUUACUGGGCGUAAAGCGCACGCAGGCGGUUGAUUGAGUCAGAUGUGAAAUCCCCGGGCUUAACCCGGGAAUUGCAUCUGAUACUGGUCAGCUAGAGUCUUGUAGAGGGGGGUAGAAUUCCAUGUGUAGCGGUGAAAUGCGUAGAGAUGUGGAGGAAUACCGGUGGCGAAUGCGGCCCCCUGGACGAAGACUGACGCUCAGGUGCGAAAGCGUGGGGAGCAAACAGG